rnacentral:rRNA from 1 species
AGUCGAGCGAGAAAGCUCUUUUACGAUUUCUUCGGAAUGAAUAGUUGAGCGGACAGCGGCGCAAGGGAGAGUAACGCGUGGAAGUUUACCCUGAGGAGAGGGAUAGCUGCGGGAAACUGCAGGUAAUACCUCAUAAUGUCUCCGGACCAAAUGAAUUUCGCCUCAGGAGAACUCCGCGUCCUACUAGCUUGUUGGUGGUGUAACGGACUACCAAGGCUAUGAUGGGUAGCGGGUGUGAGAGCAUGACCCGUCUCACUGGGACUGAGACACUGCCCAGACACCUACGGGUGGCUGCAGUCGAGAAUCUUCGGCAAUGGGCGAAAGCCUGACCGAGCGACGCCGCGUGCGGGAUGAAGGUCUUCGGGUUGUAAACCGCUGUCAGAGGGGAGGAAAGCUUCGGCUUGACUGAACCUCAGAGGAAGCACGGGCUAAGUUCGUGCCAGCAGCCGCGGUAACACGAACCGUGCGAACGUUAUUCGGAAUCACUGGGCUUAAAGGGUGCGUAGGCGGCUUUGCAAGUGAGGUGUGAAAUCCCUCAGCUCAACUGAGGAACUGCGCUUCAAACUGCAUAGCUAGAGGGAGACAGAGGUAAGCGGAACUGAUGGUGGAGCGGUGAAAUGCGUUGAUAUCAUCAGGAACACCAGUGGCGAAGGCGGCUUACUGGGUCUCUUCUGACGCUGAGGCACGAAAGCUAGGGUAGCGAACGGGAUUAGAUACCCCGGUAGUCCUAGCUGUAAACGAUGAGUACUGGAUCGAGGAACCUUCCACAGUUUCUCGGUCGUAGCGAAAGUGUUAAGUACUCCGCCUGGGGAGUAUGGUCGCAAGGCU